AUACUUAUAUUUGGUACAUCAAGAACUAGGUUUACAGAAACGGAAAAACAUUUAUGGGAAUGUCUUACAAUAAGAACUGAAAUAUUUUACAAAAA
rnacentral:sRNA from 1 species